UACGAAGGGGGCUAGCGUUGCUCGGAAUCACUGGGCGUAAAGCGCACGUAGGCGGAUUGUUAAGUCAGGGGUGAAAUCCUGGAGCUCAACUCCAGAACUGCCUUUGAUACUGGCGAUCUCGAGUCCGGGAGAGGUGAGUGGAACUGCGAGUGUAGAGGUGAAAUUCGUAGAUAUUCGCAAGAACACCAGUGGCGACGGCGGCUCACUGGCCCGGUACUGACGCUGAGGUGCGAAAGCGUGGGGAGCAAACCGG
rnacentral:rRNA from 1 species